AGUGAAACCGCGAAUGGCUCAUUAAAUCGGUUAUGGUUCCUUGGACCCAAAAUUUUACUUGGAUAACUGUGGUAAUUCUAGAGCUAAUACAUGCAUUUCAGUCGUGACCCGAAAKGGRAAGGACGCUUUUAUUAGAUCAAAGCCAAUCGGCCGGUUCGYCCGGUCCGUUCCGYYUUGGUGACUCUGGAUAACCUUGGGCUGAUCGCACGGUCUCCGCRCCGGCGACRYRUCYUUCAAAUGUCUGCCUUAUCAACUGWCGAUGGUAGGUUUUGCGCCUACCAUGGUUGUAACGGGURACGGGGAAUCAGGGUUCGAUUCCGGAGAGGGAGCCUGAGAAACGGCUACCACAUCCAAGGAAGGCAGCAGGCGCGCAAAUUACCCACUCCCGGCACGGGGAGGUAGUGACGAAAAAUAACGAUACGGGACUCAUCCGAGGCCCCGUAAUCGGAAUGAGMACACUUUAAAUCYYUUAACGAGUAYCCAUURGAGGGCAAGUCUGGUGCCAGCAGCCGCGGUAAUUCCAGCUCCAAUAGCGUAUAUUAAAGUUGUUGCGGUUAAAAAGCUCGUAGUUKGACYUGUGUCCCACGCUGUCGGUUCACCGCUCGUCGGUGUCCAACUGGCAUGCGUGCGGGACGUCCUGCCGGUGGGCGCGAGCCGAMUGCGGYGGCAGGCGCUCUCGGGCCAGGCUCCGGCGGUGAGCRAUCGCUGUCGGGCCCGGCUCUCGGGGGCGUCGCGGCCUCGUGGAAGGCGGACCCCGAUCUCACCCGCCGCGGUGCUCUUAACUGAGUGUCGUGCGGGCCGGCACGUUUACUUUGAACAAAUUAACGUGCUUAACGCAGGCCUUUGUCUGCCCGAAUAYUCUUGCAUGGAAURAUGKAAUAGGACCUCGGUUCUAUUUUGUUGGUUUUCGGAAGKCGAGGUAAUGAUUAAUKGGGAUUGCCGGGGGCAUCCGUAUUGCGACGUUAGAGGUGAAAUUCUUGGAUCGUCGCAAGACGAACUGGAGCGAAAGCGUUUGCCAAGUAUGUUUUCUUUAAUCAAGAACGAAAGUUAGAGGUUCGAAGGCGAUCAGAUACCGCCCUAGUUCUAACCAUAAACUAUGCCAACUAGCGAUCCGCUGUGUGUCUUAGAUGUCACGGCGGGCAGCCUCCGGGAAACCAAAGUAUUUGGGUUCCGGGGGAAGUAUGGUUGCAAAGCUGAAACUUAAAGGAAUUGACGGAAGGGCACCACCAGACGUGGAGCCUGCGGCUUAAUUUGACUCAACGCGGGGAACCUCAUCAGGCCAGGACACCGGAAGGAUUGACAGAUUGAGAGCUCUUUCUUGAUUCGGUGGGUGGUGGUGCAUGGCCGUUCUUAGUUCGUGGAUUGAUUUGUCUGCUUAAUUGCGAUAACGAACGAGAUCCUACCCUACUAACUAGUCGAAACCGGCAUCCCCUGUGCAGCCGGCGACCAACACUCUUCUUAGAGGGACAAGGCGGCUUCCAGCCGCAGGAAGUGGGGCAAUAACAGGUCUGUAAUGCCCUUAGAUGUUCUGGGCAGCACGCGCGCUACACUGAAGGUAUCAACGUGUGUUUUCCUUGCUCGAGAGGGCCGGGUAACCCGUUGAAACUCCUUCGUGCUAGGGAUUGGGGCUUGCAAUUAUUCCCCACCAACGAGGAAUGCCUAGUAAGCGGGAAUCAUUACUUCCCGCUGAUUAAGUCCCUGCCCUUUGUACACACCGCCCGUCGCUACUACCGAUUGAAUAUUUUAGUGAGGUCUUCGGACCAGCCCGCGGACCCUUCUCAGGGGCCGUAGAGGCCGGAAAGAUGACCGAACUUGAAUAUUUAGAGGAAGUAAAAGUCGUAACAAGGUUUCCGUAGGUGAACCUGCG
rnacentral:rRNA from 1 species